GGGGGGGGGGGGGGGGGGGGGGGGGGGGGGGAGGGCGGGGGGGGGGGGGGGGGGCGGGCGCCGCUGACGGGAGCGGCGGGCGGGGGAGGGACACGUGGAUGACCUACCUAUAAGACUGGGAUAACGGCGGGAAACCGGAGCUAAUACCGGAUAAUAUAUUGAACCGCAUGGUUCAAUAGUGAAAGACGGUUUUGCUGUCACUCAUAGAUGGAUCCGCGCCGCAUUAGCUAGUUGGUAAGGUAACGGCUUACCAAGGCAACGAUGCGUAGCCGACCUGAGAGGGUGAUCGGCCACACUGGAACUGAGACACGGUCCAGACUCCUACGGGAGGCAGCAGUAGGGAAUCUUCCGCAAUGGGCGAAAGCCUGACGGAGCAACGCCGCGUGAGUGAUGAAGGUCUUCGGAUCGUAAAACUCUGUUAUUAGGGAAGAACAAAUGUGUAAGUAACUAUGCACGUCUUGACGGUACCUAAUCAGAAAGCCACGGCUAACUACGUG
rnacentral:rRNA from 1 species